AUUGAACGCUGGCGGCAGGCCUAACACAUGCAAGUCGAGCGGACGAAGGGAGCUUGCUCCUGGAUUCAGCGGCGGACGGGUGAGUAAUGCCUAGGAAUCUGCCUGGUAGUGGGGGAUAACGUCCGGAAACGGGCGCUAAUACCGCAUACGUCCUGAGGGAGAAAGUAGGGGAUCUUCGGACCUCACGCUAUCAGAUGAGCCUAGGUCGGAUUAGCUAGUUGGUGGGGUAAAGGCCUACCAAGGCGACGAUCCGUAACUGGUCUGAGAGGAUGAUCAGUCACCGUGGAACUGAGACACGGUCCAGACUCCUAAGGGAGGGAGGAGUGGGGAAUAUUGGGCAAUGGGCGAAAGCCUGAUCCAGCCAUGCCGCGUGGGUGAAGAAGGUCUUCGGGUUGUAAAGCCCUUUUAGUUGGGAAGAAAGGCAGUAAGUUAAUACCCUGCUGUUUUGACGGUACCCAAAGAAUAAGCACCGGCUAACUUCGUG
rnacentral:rRNA from 1 species